rnacentral:rRNA from 1 species
GAGAGUUAAACAGUACGUGAAAUUGUUGAAAGGGAAACGCUUGAAGUCAGUCGUGCCGGCGUUGGAUUCAGCUUGCUUCGCGGAGCAGGCGUAUUUCCGCGCAUGGCAGGUCAGCGUCGAUUUCGGGGGUUGUAAAAUACUUGGGGGAAAGUAGCUCUGCUUCGGGAGAGUGUUAUAGACCUUGGGAGAUGCAGCCUGCGGGAUCGAGGAUUGCAGCAAAUGCCAUUGGCUUGUCGCCUGAUCUUUGAUUGUUACCUUGUUUAUGACAACAUUCUUGUCAUCGAUGAGUACUAAUGGUUAUGGGUUAGAACGAUCAAAAAUUUGCUAAGGAUGCUGACGUAAUGGCUUUAAACGA